AUCAAAAUCAAUACAGAUGCAUCUUGGAGUACCAAGUCCCACAUGAGUUCCCUUGCUUACAUAGUCAGAAACCAUGAAGGUGUGGUCCUUACCGGGGGAGUAUCCAAAUUACCGUGCCCCUCUCCCCUUCUUGCAGAAGCAUGUGCGCUGAGGGAGGCUUUGGUCUUCGUCAAUAAUUUGGGGGAGGACAAAGUUCUUAUGGAAUCUGACUGUCUGCAACUAAUUGAGGCAUGCAAUAGGAAGAAAACAAUUGGAGAAAUCCAAGUUAUUGUGGAAGAUAUUAUUAAACUUUGAGGCAAUCUGCAGUUAUGUACUUUUACCUGGAUCCCACGAAAGACCAACAAGGUUGCCCACUCCAUAACGCAGCUACACAGCAGGAACAACCUUCCCCCAAAUUGGUGCUUCGCCCCUCCCCACGGCUUAGCCAUGGACAUUCGUGCUGAUUUGUCACUGAUCGAAAGGGAACCAGAUUGAUUUUGUUGUGUAUUUGGAAAUUCACAAGGAGCUUCAGAAGGGGAACAAGGCAUUCUGCGUUCUUGGCCCUCUCCCUUAGUCUAACUUUGCUCCCCUGUGUUUCAGAGCCUAGUUAUUACUGGUUUUAAUUGAUGUAGUGGGACAAGUUUGUCACUUGGACCGUGUUUUUUUCCCACUACCCCUGUUUUCAUUGUAAUUUCCGCCAGCUAUAAUUGGCUCUGAAUUUAUGAAAUAGCAUUCCGUUGACCAAAAAAAAAAAGGCAGGUUCUCUCUUUGGCAUAACAAUGGCUACCAAUCCUACCAUAAACCCUAGAUGAAGACCUCAAUGUUCAUAUAAGUACAUUUGGCGCCCACCGUGGGGCCCGGUGAAACUCUUCCGGACCUCAAGGAUGAAGAAUUUCCAAGCAUGGUUAACCACUGUUCACGGAUCGAGAAGAAAAAGGAAGGAACAAAAAAUUCGUUACCACCACGGCGUUUCUUGUUCACUGUCGCGGGUAGCUUCGGUUUCCGAUCUUUGAUCGGCGUGGCUAGGGGAACGCAUCGUCAACCCUCUGCCACGAAGCUAACGGCACCUCUGGCGCCUCGGAUUUAAGACAUAGAGGAGCAGUUCAGACCAAGGAGAAGGAAGGGAUAAGUUAGGACACACCAACCGCUCGAUAAAAUACUUGAUUGAACUUCUCUUCAUUUCCAUGAUGUUGCUGUCAAAUUGGACAUGAAUAUUGAGAAGUUGGUCGCACUUGAAGAAUACUUAGAAUCUGGAAUGGUAUUACGCCUGGUUUGCAUAAUUUGCUCUUACAAUUUGCUGCUAAAUUCACUAUGCUUGGACUGGUUUAUUUUACUGCAAUCAAACAUGUGCUAAAUUGAUAUGCCAUUUUAGUACUACUCUUGAGUGUUAAAAUGUAGCUCAUUCCUCCUGAUAUAUUCAAAAUAACAUUCCAGUUUAUAUUUCUUAA